rnacentral:rRNA from 1 species
UACAGAGGGGGCAAGCGUUAUUCGGAAUUAUUGGGCGUAAAGGGCGCGUAGGCGGCCCUUCAAGUGGGAGGUGAAAUCCCUCGGCUCAACCGAGGAGCGGCCUCCCAAACUGAAGGGCUUGAGUCCGGGAGAGGUGAGUGGAAUUCCCAGUGUAGCGGUGAAAUGCGUAGAUAUUGGGAGGAACACCAGUGGCGAAGGCGGCUCACUGGACCGGCACUGACGCUGAGGCGCGAAAGCGUGGGGAGCAAAC